GUCCUAUCUCCCUGCAUGCUGAAGGCCUGAAUUUCUGUCCGUUUUCAGUUCUUUUGCCAGUGCUUAGUUCUCUACCAAGAAGAUAACCUGGUGACGAUGCUGAGAGCUUCUGACUCUCCCAAACAGAACAUCAGAGAGGUGCACUGGGCCAUGCUCGUUAAUCACCACCACCUCUGGACAGCAUUCUCUGCAGAUGGCAAACAUCAUUAUGUGCAGUAGACUGACAAAAACACAACAAUUAAGACUGCAUGGUGAGGGCGAAGUGGAGCUGGAGUCCUGUGGCUUCCCUCCAAACACUAAGAAUUAAAAUAAAUGUUCGGUUGAACAGGAAGAAAGCUAUAACUAGGAAACCACUACUUUAUUCUCUUUUUAAUUUUCCUGUCAUCAUUAGAGAGACAUUGUUUCACAGUUGUUUUAGUUUUCCUGCCGCAGGAUUGAAUGUCUCCCAGCCUAUUUCAUUUCCA
rnacentral:lncRNA from 1 species